GAUGAACGCUGGCGGCGUGCCUAAUACAUGCAAGUCGAGCGGUAAGGCUUUCACAGAUUAAUUUAAACGGGUAAGUCUAAGAUGAAAAUCAUAGAUACUAUCCUUCAACACUCGUUUCCCGGCUAGGAAACACAUAAUGGUUGAAUAAUGUGUGAAAGUACACGAGCGGCGGACGGCUGAGUAACGCGUAGGAAUGUACCCCAAAGUGAGGAAUAACUGCCUGAAAAGGUAGCUAAUGCCGCAUAUGGUCCACGGAUUAAAGCCUUCGGGCGCUUUGGGAGCAGCCUGCGUAUGAUUAGAUAGUUGGUGAGGUAAAAGCUCACCAAGUCUACGAUCAUUAGCUGGUCUGAGAGGAUGAUCAGCCAGACUGGGACUGAGACACGGCCCAG
rnacentral:rRNA from 1 species